rnacentral:rRNA from 1 species
AACGAACGCUGGCGGCGUGGAUAAGACAUGCAAGUCGAACGGGAGUUAUUUAUAGCAAUAUGAGUGAACUCUAGUGGCGAAAGGGUGCGUAACACGUAGCUACCUACCUCGAAGUUGGGGAUAGCUCGGCGAAAGCCGGAUUAAUACCGAAUGUGAUCGUGAGAUCAAAGCUGGGGAUCGUAAGACCUGGCGCUUUGAGAUGGGGCUGCGGCCUAUCAGGUAGUUGGCGGGGUAAUGGCCCACCAAGCCUAAGACGGGUAGCUGGUCUGAGAGGACGACCAGCCACACUGGAACUGAGACACGGUCCAGACACCUACGGGUGGCAGCAGUCGAGGAUUUUCUCAAUAGGGGAAACCCUGAAGGAGCGACGCCGCGUGAGGGAUGAAGGUUUUCGGAUUGUAAA